rnacentral:rRNA from 1 species
GAUGAACGCUGGCGGCGUGCCUAAUACAUGCAAGUCGAGCGAACGGACGAGAAGCUUGCUUUUCUGAUGUUAGCGGCGGACGGGUGAGUAACACGUGGAUAACCUACCUAUAAGAAUGGGAUAACUUCGGGAAACCGGAGCUAAUACCGGUUAAUAUUUUGAACCGCAUGGUUCAAAAGUGAAAGACGGUCUUGCUGUCACUUAUAGAUGGAUCCGCGCUGCAUUAGCUAGUUGGUAAGGUAACGGCUUACCAAGGCAACGAUGCAUAGCCGACCUGAGAGGGUGAUCGGCCACACUGGAACUGAGACACGGUCCAGACUCCUACGGGAGGCAGCAGUAGGGAAUCUUGCGCAAUGGGCGAAAGCCUGACGGAGCAACGCCGCGUGUGUGAUGAAGGUCUUCGGAUCGUAAAACUCUGUUAUUAGGGAAGAACAGAUGUAUAAGUAACUGUGCACAUCUUGACGGUACCUAAUCAGAAAGCCACGGCUAACUACGUG